rnacentral:RNase_P_RNA from 1 species
UCAGUAGGACGGUCUAUCGCUGGCGUGCAAACGCGGGAGGAAAGUCCGGGCAACGCAAGGCACUAUGCUUCCUAACGGGAAGAACUUCGUGAGGGGAUAGUAGCGUAACAGAAAAUAACCGCCAGCUUGCUGGUAAGGGUGAAAAGGUGAGGUAAGAGCUCACCGGGGUUGUGGCGACACGGCUGCCGUACGCCUCAUAGGUUGAAAGAACGUGUAUAUUUCGAUUCUACAUUGUAGAGCAUGGUUGCCUGCUGUGUUAUACAUUUUCGGAUGUAUUGUCGGAAGGGGUAGUUCGAUUGAGGUCAUGGGUGACUGUGAUCCUAGAUAAAUGAUAGACGCUCACUUUGUGAGUACAGAACUCGGCUUAUAGACCUACUGAAUCU